GUUAGAACGACAGGGGAGGAAAACUCAACAGCCUAAAUAUCUCUGAAAACUGCAUCGCAAAAUGGAAGAAAGAGGGGGUCCCACUACUGUUUCAAAAGAGAUGCUCACCCUUGGAGACCAGCAACAAUGUGUGCAGAAACCCAGGCCAUGUGGAGAGGCCCCACAUACGUGUCCAACUGAGGUCCCAGCUGACAGCUGGCAUUGACAUAAUGUUCACUCUGGGGGAAGCCAGCUGCCACGCUGUAAGGACACUCGGGCAGUCCUAUGAAGAGGCCCGUGUGGUGAGAAAGAGAGGCCUCCAGCCAACAGCCAUGUGAGUGGGCCAUUGAGGAAGCAGCCUCAGUGCCUGCAGCCCUGACUGGCAUCCUGAACUACCACCUUAAAUGAGACCCUGAGCCAGAGUCACUACUUCCAAAUUCUUGACCCACAGAAAUUGUGAAAUAAUAUUUGUUGUUUUAAGCCGCCAAGUUUUGGGAGUAAUUUGUUAUAUAGCAAAAGAUAAUUAAUACAUUCACUUCCUAAGAUUAUGGUGAAGAAUUAAGGAUACAGCAUGAAAAGAACUUUGCUAUUAUUUUUAUUAUCUGAUCCAAUUUAUGUUGAAGGGCCUUCAGUACUUUCUUCUUUUACUCUAUCUUGACAUUUGUCUGAAACAUUUUUGUUUGUUUGUUUGUUUGUUUGUUUGUUUUUUAGAGAUGGGGUCUUGCUAUGUUUCCCAGUUGGAGUGCAGUGAUUAUUCACAGACAUGAUCCCACUACUGAUCAGCAUGGGAGUUUUCACCUGCUCCAUUUCCCACCUGGGAGGUCAUCAUAUUGAUGGCGAGCUAAGUGUGGACACCUGAUCAGCAUAGCACAGUACAGCCCAGAACCCCUGGGCUCCAGUGAUCCUCUUACUUCAGCCUCUUGAGUAGCUGGAACUACAGGCCUGCACCACUGCACCCGGCUAGUUUGUUUUUGUUAGAGUUUUGUCUCUAGGAUUUUCCUCAGCUGAGUAUGUGAAGGCUAACUUCUCCUUGUGAAUCUGCAAAUAUCCUUAUUUUACCCUUUAUUUUACCAUGUAUCAUUUACAGGUAAAUGAUAUCUUAGCUGUGUAUUGAAUUUCUGUUUUUUGUUUUUUCUUCAGUACUCUAUAAAUAUUACUCCAGUAUCUUCUAGCUUCUCCCAUUUUCUCCUAGUGAAUGGUUAUUCUGC
rnacentral:lncRNA from 1 species